rnacentral:rRNA from 1 species
UACAGAGGUCUCAAGCGUUGUUCGGAUUCAUUGGGCGUAAAGGGUGCGUAGGUGGCGCCAUAAGUCAGGUGUGAAAUCUCGGGGCUCAACCCCGAAACUGCACUUGAUACUGUGGUGCUGGAGUACUGGAGAGGAGAUUGGAAUUUACGGUGUAGCAGUGAAAUGCGUAGAUAUCGUAAGGAAGACCAGUGGCGAAGGCGAAUCUCUGGACAGGUCCUGACGCUGAGGCACGAAAGCUAGGGGAGCAAACAGG